CGGACGGGUGAGCAACGCGUGGGUAACCUGCCUCACACAGGGGGAUAACAGUUGGAAACGACCGCUAAUACCGCAUAACCCGCUGGUGCCGCAUGGCACUGACGGAAAAGAUUUAUCGGUGUGAGAUGGACCCGCGUCUGAUUAGCCAGUUGGCAGGGUAACGGCCUACCAAAGCGACGAUCAGUAGCCGGCCUGAGAGGGUGAACGGCCACAUUGGGACUGAGACACGGCCCAGACUCCUACGGGAGGCAGCAG
rnacentral:rRNA from 1 species